rnacentral:rRNA from 1 species
UAGGGAAUCUUCCGCAAUGGACGAAAGUCUGACGGAGCAACGCCGCGUGAGUGAAGAAGGAUUUCGGUUCGUAAAACUCUGUUGUUAGGGAAGAAAAAAUGUAUAGUAACUAUAUACAAAAGAGACGGUACCUAACCAGAAAGCCACGGCUAACUACGUGCCAGCAGCCGCGGUAAUACGUAGGUGGCAAGCGUUGUCCGGAUUUAUUGGGCGUAAAGCGAGCGCAGGCGGUUAGAAAAGUCUGAAGUGAAAGGCAGUGGCUCAACCAUUGUAGGCUUUGGAAACUGUUUAACUUGAGUGCAGAAGGGGAGAGUGGAAUUCCAUGUGUAGCGGUGAAAUGCGUAGAUAUAUGGAGGAACACCGGUGGCGAAAGUGGCUCUCUGGUCUGUAACUGACGCUGAGGCUCGAAAGCGUGGGGAGCGAACAGG